UACGUAGGGUGCGAGCGUUAAUCGGAAUUACUGGGCGUAAAGCGUGCGCAGGCGGUUCGCUGUGUCCUGUGUGAAAGCCCCGGGCUUAACCUGGGAAUGGCAUGGGAAACUGGCGAACUGGAGUGUGGCAGAGGGGGGUGGAAUUCCGCGUGUAGCAGUGAAAUGCGUAGAGAUGCGGAGGAACACCGAUGGCGAAGGCAGCCCCCUGGGCUAACACUGACGCUCAGGCACGAAAGCGUGGGGAGCAAACAGG
rnacentral:rRNA from 1 species